rnacentral:tRNA from 1 species
GGUUAUGGCUUAGUGGUAGAGUGCUUGCCUAGCAUGUGUGAGGCACUGGGUUUGAUUCUCAGCACCA